AUUUUCAUGAUGAUUUUUUUUACCGCCCCAGUCUGAAUUUUGUGACUGAUUGGUUGUUCUGAUUUUUU